UAAUAGGCCGUUCCAACAUGCUGUCAAAAUUAAAUCAAUAUGGCUGCUGGAAGUAAAACAUAAAUGUUAUUCUAUAGGUUCUUAAUGUGUUUUAGAUGGUUUUAGAUCAUUUUUGUUGUGUUUCUUUGUAAUUUUGUGUUGUACAAAGAUUAAUUUAACAUUUUCUCUGGAAGUAUUAAUUUAGAAAGAUAAUAUGCUUCAUUGGUGUUGUGUUUUGAAGUGUGAAAUGCAAAGUAAUCCUGAUAAAGUCAAGAUAAAGUUCACUUUUAAACUGAACUAAAUACGGUAUCAGCUGAGAGACAACAAUGGUUAAAUGCAAUACAAUGUAAGGUUUUACUAGCGAAAUGAAAAUUCUCCUGUCCUGUCUGCUGUUGUAAUCAUUUUAUAUCUGGAAAACCAGCCGACUUAAUCGAUAAUAACAAUCCAGAUUGGGUUCCUUCAAUAAAUAUGGGCUAUAAACACAAUGAAAUAAGUUCCCCAAAAUCUAAAAUGAAGUGGUAUCAAAGAGAAUUAAAAGAAAAAAUAUUCAUAUUGAAAUUAUUUAUAAGGCACUGGACUGUCUUAAAUUCUACAAAUACUAGAAUCAGCUGAGAGAAGUGGUGUACAAAAAAACUAGGAAGGGAAUGGAAUAUGUGGCUACGAAAGGCAAAAGAAAUGAAUACAAAGCAAAUGUGACACAUUUUUUUAAAAAUAUGUAGGAAUAUCAGUAAACUACAUUAAAAAUGUAU